rnacentral:rRNA from 1 species
UGAGAGAACCCAGGUGAAGGAACUCGGCAAAUUAGCACCGUAACUUCGGGAGAAGGUGCGCCCCGGUAGAUUGUAGUGGCUUGCCCACGAAGGUCGAUGGGGUUGCAGUGAAAAGGUGGCUGCGACUGUUUAACAAAAACACAGCACUCUGCAAACACGAAAGUGGACGUAUAGGGUGUGACUCCUGCCCGGUGCCGGAAGGUUAAUUGAUGGGGUGCAAGCUCUUGAUCGAAGCCCCGGUAAACGGCGGCCGUAACGAUAGCGGUCCUAAGGUAGCGAAAUUCCUUGUCGGGUAAGUUCCGACCCGCACGAAUGGAGUAACGAUGGCCACACUGUCUCCACCUGGGACUCAGCGAAAUUGAAAUGGUUGUGAAGAUGCAAUCUACCCGCGGCUAGACGGAAAGACCCCGUGCACCUUUACUGUAGCUUUACAUUGGACUUUGACAAGACGUGUGUAGGAUAGGUGGGAGACUAUGAAGUGGGAACGCUAGUUCUCAUGGAGUCAACCUUGAAAUACCACCCUCGUGUUGUUGAGGUUCUAACCUUGGUCCAUCAUCUGGAUUGGGGACAGUGUAUGGUAGGCAGUUUGACUGGGGCGGUCUCCUCCCAAAGAGUAACGGAGGAGUUCGAAGGUAUCCUAGAUACGGUCGGAAAUCGUAUUGAUAGUGCAAUGGCAUAAGGAUGCUUGACUGCGAGACUGACACGUCGAGCAGGUGCGAAAGCAGGACAUAGUGAUCCGGUGGUUCUGUAUGGAAGGGCCAUCGCUCAACGGAUAAAAGGUACGCCGGGGAUAACAGGCUGAUACCGCCCAAGAGUUCAUAUCGACGGCGGUGUUUGGCACCUCGAUGUCGGCUCAUCACAUCCUGGGGCUGUAGCCGGUCCCAAGGGUAUGGCUGUUCGCCAUUUAAAGUGGUACGUGAGCUGGGUUCAAAACGUCGUGAGACAGUUUGGUCCCUAUCUACCGUGGGCGCUGGAAGUUUGAGGGGGGCUGCUUCUAGUACGAGAGGACCGAAGUGGACGCACCUCUGGUGUACCGGUUGUCACGCCAGUGGCAUAGCCGGGUAGCUAUGUGCGGAAAAGAUAAUCGCUGAAAGCAUCUAAGCGAGAAACUUGCCUCAAGAUAAGACUUCCCUGGAGACUUGAUCUCCCUAAAGGGUCGUUGCAGACUACAACGUUGAUAGGCUGGGUGUGUAAGCGCAGUAAUGCGUUGAGCUAACCAGUACUGAUUGCCCGUGAGGCUUGAUCCU